rnacentral:rRNA from 1 species
UACAGAGGUCUCAAGCGUUGUUCGGAUUCAUUGGGCGUAAAGGGUGCGCAGGCGGCGGGAGAAGUCUGGUGUGAAAUCCCGGGGCUCAACCCCGGAACUGCACUGGAUACUCUCCUGCUAGAGCACUGGAGAGGAGACUGGAAUUUACGGUGUAGCAGUGAAAUGCGUAGAGAUCGUAAGGAAGACCAGUGGCGAAGGCGAGUCUCUGGACAGUUGCUGACGCUGAGGCACGAAGGCCAGGGGAGCAAACGGG